rnacentral:lncRNA from 1 species
ACAUAAUUAUAGACGAGAAUUUGUCUUGCGAUUAUGAGUUUGUAUAUAUUAUGGUAGAAACUUUUUAGUAAUUUUUAUAAAUUCAAAACUAUUACAUUUUCACCCCUAAAAGAUUUCAUAUCAAAAUUAAUAGGUUCUUGUGUAGUGUAGAUUCUUGACCUUGAAGCAAAUAGGUUUAUAAAGCUCUAAAAUAUGGAUAGUUUAAGGAGAUACUUCU